rnacentral:rRNA from 1 species
UACGGGGGGGGGCAAGCGUUUGUUCGGAAUUACUGGGCGUAAAGGGCUCGUAGGCGGCCAACUAAGUCCGACGUGAAAUCCCCAGGCUUAACCUGGGAACUGCGUCGGAUACUGGAUGGCUUGAAUCCGGGAGAGGGAUGCGGAAUUCCAGGUGUAGCGGUGAAAUGCGUAGAUAUCUGGAGGAACACCGGUGGCGAAGGCGGCAUCCUGGACCGGCAUUGACGCUGAUGAGCGAAAGCCAGGGGAGCAAACGGGG